ensembl:lncRNA
CAUUAGCACAUUUCAACACAUAGCAUCCGCUCUUACUGUGGUAGCUGCAACAACUUCCAGAACAUUUCUGGUGUACGGAGGUAGCAAUAUACUUAGCCCGCUCAACUUUCCAUCAAGUUAGGAUAAUUUACUGCAUUUUGGGGUGAAGGCUCACUCGCCGCUGCGAGAACCUAAGAUGCUUAUCGCGAAGAGGAGGCAAAUAAAAUGCAGAUUGGAGGAAAUGGGCGGCGCCAUUACGGCGGACGCAGGGAAGACAGCGCAGGAGCGGCGUGAGUGAGAUGACCGCUUACAUUGCCUGUAAAUUAAAACUCAACACUCUGGCCCAAUUUACAAAGGCGCCAUAAAAG